rnacentral:rRNA from 1 species
GAUUCCCUGAGUAACGGCGAGCGAAAAGGGAAGAGCCCAGCGCCGAAUCCCCCGCUCGCGAGGGCGUGGGGAAAUGUGGCGUUUGGGAGUGAGCGUGCCGGUGGUCGACUCUGCAGCAAGUCCCCCUGACCGGGGCUGUUACCCACAGUGGGUGCGAGGCCCAUAGCUGCUAGGUCGCCUCCGGAUGCAAACUCCUUGGAGUCGGGUUGCUUGGGAGUGCAGCCCUAAUCGGGUGGUAAACUCCACCUAAGGCUAAAUACUGCCGUGAGACCGAUAGCAAACAAGUACCGUGAGGGAAAGUUGCAAAGAACUUUGAAGAGAGAGUUCAAGAGUACGUGAAACUGCUCAGAGGUAAACGGGUGGGCCCUCGAAAUCCUGUGGCGGGAGUAUUCAGUCGGGACGAGCGGGGCGGGGAUCGGAAUGAACCGAGAAGGUUCCCGCGACGGGGCCGUUCUGGUCCCCGAUCCCUGUCGGCCCGACGCAUUUGUUUCCCGCCCGAAGGACGCCGCAACCGGUUGGGGGACGGCCAUAAGGGCGAGAGCCGGCAGGUGGCCGGUGGCUUUUUAAAUGUGGAGUCGCCGGUUGUUAGCCAUCUCGUCGCACGGCACGACCCCCGACCGAGGAAAGAGAGAGGCCCCUGAAUGGGCUUCGUCGUCUCCUCCUGUAAAAGGCUGCGGGCAAGAAGCGUGACAGGAGACUCGAUGCCCUGCGGGCGCACGGACUGACUCCGUGGCCCAGCGUCGCGUCGUCUUCGUUGGUUGCGCAAGGCCCUCUGGAGUGAUUGACGGUUGGCGGCGAGUAGAUCGGUCACCCACCCGACCCGUCUUGAAACACGGACCAAGGAGUCUAACAUGUAUGCGAGUCCCAGGGUCUUGAACAGGCCCGGAGGCGCAAUGAAAGCAAAGGCCGGGGGACCCCGGGCCGUGUUGGGAUCCCCUCUCCUCAGCGGGAGGGGCGCACCAACGACCCGUCCUGUUCCACUUGUGGAUGGGGCGGAGUCUGAGCAUACACGUUGGGACCCGAAAGAUGGUGAACUAUGCCCGGGCAGGACGAGGCCAGAGGAAACUCUGGUGGAGGUCCGUAGCGGUUCUGACGUGCAAAUCGAUCGUCAGAUCCGGGUCUAGGGGCGAAAGACUAAUCGAACCAUCUAGUAGCUGGUUCCCUCCGAAGUUUCCCUCAGGAUAGCUGGCGCUCGAGGAAUUCAGUCUCAUCCGGUAAAGCGAAUGAUUAGAGGCCUUGGGGCCGAAACGACCUCAACCUAUUCUCAAACUUUAAAUGGGUGAGAAGUCCGCCUUGCAUGACUGAAGGCCGGACUAUGGAUGAGAGUGCCCAGUGGGCCACUUUUGGUAAGCAGAACUGGCGCUGUGGGAUGAACCAAACGCCGGGUUAAGGCGUCCGAUGCGAGACGCUCAUGAGACCCCAUGAAAGGUGUUGGUUGCUCCAGACAGCAGGACGGUGGUCAUGGAAGUUGAAAUCCGCUAAGGAGUGUGUAACAACUCACCUGCCGAAGCAACUAGCCCUGAAAAUGGAUGACGCUCCAGCGUCGAGCCUAUACCCGGCCGCUGCGGCAGAAGGUCAAUAUGCGUUUAUGUCUCACUGAGUAUGAGGGUCUCGCGGCGAGAGUUUAAAGUGCCCGGCG